CCUACGGGAGGCAGCAGUGGGGGAUAUUGCACAAUGGGGGGAACCCUGAUGCAGCGACGCCGCGUGGGUGAAGAAGCGCCUCGGCGCGUAAAGCCCUGUCAGCAGGGAAGAAAAUGACGGUACCUGAAGAAGAAGCCCCGGCUAACUACGUGCCAGCAGCCGCGGUAAUACGUAGGGGGCAAGCGUUAUCCGGAUUUACUGGGUGUAAAGGGGGCGCAAACGGCGAUGCAAGCCAGGAGUGAAAGCCCGGGGACCAACCCCGGGACUGCUCUUGGAACUGCGUGGCUGGAGUGCAGGAGGGGCAGGCGGAAUUCCUGGUGUAGCGGUGAAAUGCGUAGAUAUCAGGAGGAACACCGGUGGCGAAGGCGGCCUGCUGGACUGCAACUGACGUUGAGGCCCGAAAGCGUGGGGAGCAAACAGGAUUAGAUACCCUUGUAGUU
rnacentral:rRNA from 1 species